AACUACACCCAUUCAAGCUAUUACACAUUCUGCUGAUCAAUUCAUGUUAUUGUGGAACAUGUUUCUGCAGCCAUAGUCUGUUCUGUUGUUUGAGGUCUUCUCGUCAGUUGUGUUUUGCCCAGCUUUUGUUGCGCUAUUUAUAACCAGGUCUAACUUGGUGAAUAUGCAAGCUCCACAGAGUUCCUCAAGGGCAGCUGGGACCAGGGGAAAUGGGUACGGCAACAUGACAGUUUGAGAGUUGAUUGUUCGGUAGUCAAUGCAGGGCCGCAGGCCUCCGUCCUUUUUGAGCCACAAGGAAGAAGCAGGAGGUGGCAGGUGAUUUGGAAGGGCAUAUGAACUGUUGUUGGAGAGCCUCCUUGAUGUAGUCCUCCAUGGCCUUGCGCUCCGGGAUGGACAGCAGGUACACACUACCCUUGGGGAGUGUAGCUGCAGGCAGCAGGUCAAUGGCACAAUCCCACAUUCCAUGAGGGUGAGGUUUACUUGGUGACUGGGAACUUUGACAAGGUGUACAGGAAUGUUGGAAAGACAGUACAGGGAGCAUGUAUCACUCCAUCUGAGAAUCUCACUGGAAUCCCAUCUGACUUCGGGAGAGUGUUGGGAGAGCCAGGGGUGUCCCAGGAUGAUGUCCAUGGUGGGUCCCUACAGUACCACGAAUGAGAUCACCUUGUGAUGGAAACGUCCCAUUUGAAGGAUCACCGGGGAAAAUUUGACCCGCCCAUGCCCUAGCAGUUUUCCUUGGAUGGCCUCGAUCCUCAGUUCCUGGGCUUGUCUCCUCCGGAGCAGGUUAAGACAUCUUAGGAGGGCUUGGGAGAUGAAGGGCGGGUACUGAAACGGAAAUGAUGUGGGGUGAGUAGUUGAACUGUCAGCAAUGGUAAGAUAGAAACAUCUGGCUAAAUUUGGAGAGUACUCACCACUGGGCGUGGGGGGUGAGAGGAGCAGGUCUUAAUGAAAUGCCCCGAUGAACCACAAUAUAGGCAGAGACCAGAUGACAGAUGUCAUGCACGCUCCACGCAUGUGAGACGAUGAGUAUCCACUUGCAUGGGCUCUGGCACUGGAGGACAGGCAGUGGGUGAGGCUGAGAGAUCCUUACGGCUUGUUGCAUAAAGUUUUCUAAACCGACCGUGACGUUGUAGAUGGCUAUUUGUGCUCGAAUGAGCAGAUCCAAACCUGUCGGUAGGUGGUCAGAAGCGCUCCCUCAUUCUAUCCACUGAAUGCCACUAGGGUGCGGAACUGAAGAGUAUAAUCACUUGCCAAAGAAGUCCCUUGAUGCGGGCCCAUGAGCUGAUCGGGAAUGGACAGCGAGCCGUUGGAAAGUCCAAAAACCUCAUUGAAGGGAGCCUUGAAAGCGUCAAAUGAGUUGAUUAUUGUGCUCUGAGAGUUCCAUGUGGUGCAUGCCCAGAGUAGUGAGUGUCCUGACAGGAGGGAGAUUAGGAAGGCUACCUUUGACCUCUCUGUGGCAAAAUUAUGAGGCUGCAUUUCAAUGAACAGAGAGACUUGAAGUAAAAAAAAAAAAAAAAAAGCUACAUUCAAUCGCCUCAACUGAAUAAGGAGAAGGAGUGGCCAUGGGACUGGCAGAGGCAGAUUGAGGGGUGAUGACAGGAGUGAGAGAGGACCGGAGAGCAUUGACCAGCUUCUCAACCAUGUCCGCCGGAGAAGGGCGUCGUGGUGCCAUCUUUGGUCCUUAUGUGUUCAGUCUGGUCUCCUGUCAGCAAACACACAAGUCACAGGGAAUUCCAUGGGGAAUGAAGGAGCAUAGGAGCUGAGGAGCACAUGGAGCAGAUGGUCGGGGGAACUUGUAAGUAAGUAAGUAUAAACAGGUAAGAGUCAGGUAAGUUAGCAUAGCAACUUUGAGACCAGACAGUGUGACUGCGGGGAGAGUACAAGGAUAUAGGGAGAUUGAUGAGCGGUGACUGGUAGUGACAAUCAAUAAUCAGGUGAUUUGGAUCUGGUGAGCGUUGUUGGUGGUGACUGAGGUGACUGUGACUCCCUGACAGUUAUGCAAAACAAUUUUUAUUUAUUUAUUUAUUUUUUAGUGGAGACAGUGUGUUUUGUUUUGUUUUUUGUUUUGUUGUAAAUUAAUCACAUAAUGCUAAUUGUGCAUAAUGUAAACAACUGGGAGAUGGUUGUGUUUAAUAGAAAUUCAGUUUAUAGUAGUUUUUUUUAAUAUUAAUUAUUUUUCAAAUUCUAAUAUAAUUUUUGUGCCAUGACUGAGGUGGCAGAAGCACUCUCUGUCUCAUUCUAACAUUAAAUGCUGAGAAGGACUCUAGCCUUGAAGCCUCAGAAGGACUGGACUCGGAAGGGCACAUACUCACUUAGGAUUCAUCUUUUGUUGGAGAAGCACCCACAUUCUAUAAUAGUUUAGCGGUAGUAGGGUAGCAUAAUCUUUGAAUAAUUUUACAUUUUGUGCUAUAAGAACUAAAUGUUUCAAUUUAUUUCUCUUAUUUAAUUAAC
ensembl:lncRNA